AGACAGUCUUCCUGUGUUGCCCAGGCUGGAGCACAGUGGUUUGAUCUUGGCUCACUGCAGUCUCAACCUCUCAGGCUCAAGCUAUCCUUCUGCCUCAGACUCUGGGGUAGCUGGGACAACAGCCUCAGCCAAGAUGUCUCACCCUACUCUCUAUGAUGCAACAAGAAGCCCCUGGGGAAUGUUUCAGUCCCAGUCUGUACUAUUGUCAUGUGCUCAUCACAGUCUGGUGGAAUUUAAAUGACCUUUUAUCAAGAUGGAUAAACGCAAGUUUCCCAGUGCUGGAAUACAGAAAAUGGAUGGACAACUGGAUCUACCAUGAAAGACUUCAGAGUCCAGGAAGAGAGACUGACUGGGCAACAUGUUAUUCAGUUACAAAAAGACUUGGACUAUGACUCAAAAAUGAUCAAAUAAUAGUUCAUGCAUCAAAUGCAAUAGGAAGUACUUCUGGAGGGGUCUUGCUCUGUUGUCCAGGCUGGAGUGCGGUAGUGCUAUCACAGCUGACUGCAUCCUCAACCUCUCAGGCUCAAGCAGUCCUCCCACCUCAGCCUCCCAGGUGGCUGAGACUGUACGUGCUUGCCACAAUGCCCAACUAAUAAUUUGGACUUUUCCUAUACAUGGGUUCCAAAGGGCUGACUGCGAAACGAAGUGACCUCACAAUGACUCAAGCUACCACUUAGUGUUGAUUGUGAUGAAAUGCCAGCUGUGGCAUAUGCCUUGGGAGCUAAGUGGCUGCUGCACUUGACCACUAUGAAGACUGGUGUGGAAGGGUCCUUCUGGAUGUACUUGGGCAGGGUCCCCAACGCCAGAGCCAUGGAACUGUAAGGAGCCACACAGCCGGAGGUGAAUGGUGUUGAAUGAGGGAAGCUUCAUCUGUGUUUACAGCCACUCCCCAUUGCUCACAUUCCUGCCUGAGCUCUGCCUUCUCUCAGAUCAGCAGCAGCAUUAGAUUCUCAUAGGAGCAUGCACCCCAUUGUGAACCAUGCAUGUGAGGGAUCUACGUUGCGCUGUCCCUAUGAGAAUCUAAUGCCUGAUGCUCUGUCACUUUCUCCAAUAUUAUCUUCAAGUGAGCCACUCCUGGCCCAAUUCCUGUCUCCCGUUGGCCUAUAGAGGCCAAGCCUCUGCCUCAUGAUGGCCUCUGCAGGUCAAGCUCCUCCUCCUGGUUCCGUCUACAGGCCCAACACUUCCCUCAAAUAAACUCUUCUGCCCAGCUCCUGUCCAGCUCACGGCAGCCACUGUCGGCAUGAAAAUUCCUCAAUUCAAGCUCUCUAGGCCCACCUUCUGCCUCCCACUGGCCUGGACACGCCCAGCUCCAACCUGACAAUGGUCUCUACAGGCCCAGCUCAUCGGGCUCUGAGGGACCUCUCCAGGCCAAGCUCUUACCUCACGGAGGCUUCUCCAGGUCGUUUCUCCCUGUCUUCAGGCAGU
rnacentral:lncRNA from 1 species